rnacentral:rRNA from 1 species
GACAGAGGUGCCAAGCGUUAGGCGGAAUUACUGGGCGUAAAGCGUGCGCAGGCGGUUUUGUAAGCCAGAUGUGAAAUCCCCGGGCUUAACCUGGGAAUGGCAUUUGGGACUGCAAGGCUGGAGUGUGGCAGAGGAGACUGGAAUUCCUGGUGUAGCAGUGAAAUGCGUAGAUAUCAGGAGGAAUACCGAUGGCGAAGGCAGGUCUCUGGGCUGACACUGACGCUCAUGCACGAAAGCGUGGGGAGCAAACAGG